UACGUAGGGGGCAAGCGUUGUCCGGAUUUAUUGGGCGUAAAGGGCGCGUAGGCGGCUCGGCACGUCCGUUGUGAAAUCGCUCGGCUCAACUGGGCGAGGUCAGCGGAUACGGUCGAGCUUGAGCCAGCUAGGGGGCAAUGGAAUUCCCGGUGUAGUGGUGGAAUGCGUAGAUAUCGGGAGGAACACCGAUGGCGAAGGCAGGUCUCUGGGCAUUAACUGACGCUGAGGAGCGAAAGCAUGGGGAGCGAACAGG
rnacentral:rRNA from 1 species